AUCUUCAGUCGUGAGCAAAUAAAUGCUACAAGAAUGGCAAUCAUCAUCUUAGAAAUCCUGACCAAUGCCUUAUAUGACCUGUUAAUCUCUGAUUGUGGUGGUUUCUCCGUUAAACAACGAGAAGAAUGUGAUAUAACAUAUUUAUAUGCACAACUACGAAGGAAAAACAAGCAUAUUCCAUGCCAUGGCUGGGGUCGUAGGUGGUCUGAUAUUCAGAAUUCUAACAUUCUGAUUGGUGACGAUAUAGAACGCAUUAGGUUAAACCGAAAUGAUAUGGCUCACUCGAAGAAGUUCUCGUUGGAUGACAACAAAUAUUAUGAUCUAUGUGGUAUAUUAGAGAGAGUUCUUCAUCGUUUAGAAAUAUAUAACGGGAAAGGAAAGCUCUACACAGACGAAAUGAAAAAUGUGAAAAAGAAAGAAACAAAAUCAAUUGACUGGCAAACUUACCAAAAGAAAAUAACUUCUGAAUUUCCACGACUGAAGAUGAAGCCUUCGUUUGAAGUGAAAGUCGGUGGCGGAUGCACACUUGAAUGUGAAAAAGUAGUACCGUUGCCCAAUGGUUCGACGGUGUAUUGGGUUAAGGAGAAAAACUCCAAAGUAGUAGAGCUGACAGUUGAUGAGACUACAUCAAACAAAUACAAAGGAUCGCAAUUCGAUUACCCAUCACUUAAUAUAUUUUGCGCAACAAAAGAAGAUGAAGGACACUAUUCCUGUAGAAUACGAUACCCUAAAGAGAGCGCAGAAAGCAUGGACGAAAAUAUUACAUGGCCUAAGACAUGUUUACAUGUGAAUAAUUAAAUAUUGUACAGAAAAGUGAAAUAUACGUGCCAAAUUCAAUGGAGGAAAUCUGAUGUCUAUUGUGCAACAUUUUGAAUAACGAAGUCCAUUUUUGCUCAUUUAAAAUGUACACUUUACAUUCCACCUUAAUGCAUAUUGCUUUUACAUUUCAUAUUACCUGUAUGUUUUUUUUAAAGAUUUUUGUUUCGGCGGCGCCGGCGCCGGCGAUGGCGUAAAUUAUUUGUAUAAAGCUUAUAUUUCAGAAGGUAGAAGACCUGGGUGCUUCAUACCUUGUAUGCAAUUACCUUAUGUUAAGAAAUUUCCGUCUGUCAUAUGUCCAUUGUCCUUGACCUCA